rnacentral:rRNA from 1 species
UACGUAGGGUGCGAGCGUUGUCCGGAAUUAUUGGGCGUAAAGAGCUCGUAGGCGGUCUGUCGCGUCGGCUGUGAAAUCCCGAGGCUCAACCUCGGGUCUGCAGUCGAUACGGGCAAACUGGAGUGUUGCAGGGGAGACUGGAAUUCCUGGUGUAGCGGUGAAAUGCGCAGAUAUCAGGAGGAACACCGGUGGCGAAGGCGGGUCUCUGGGCAACAACUGACGCUGAGGAGCGAAAGCGUGGGGAGCGAACAGG